GCGGUGGUAGUUCAGUUGGUAGAACGUCUCCCUUCCAAGGAGAAGGUCGCCGGUUCGAGCCCGGUCCGCCGCUCCA
rnacentral:tRNA from 1 species